UACAGAGGUCCCAAGCGUUGUUCGGAUUCAUUGGGCGUAAAGGGUGCGCAGGCGGCGAGGCAAGUCGGACGUGAAAUCUCGGGGCUUAACCCCGAAACUGCGUUCGAUACUGCUUUGCUUGAGGACUGGAGAGGAGACUGGAAUUCCUGGUGUAGCAGUGAAAUGCGUAGAUAUCAGGAGGAACGCCAAUGGCGAAGGCAAGUCUCUGGACAGUUCCUGACGCUCAUGCACGAAGGCCAGGGGAGCAAACGGG
rnacentral:rRNA from 1 species